ACCAAUUUAUAAAUUAAGUUUUUUAAUAUAUAUUCAACGAUUUAACUAAUUUCAAAAUAAAUUAAAUAUCACGUGUAACUAAAAAGAAUUAAAUAUUAAGAUAGUAAAAAUAAUACUAUGUAAGCACCAAUUUAUGGGUUAAGCAAUUAUUUAGGCUUAACCAUUCUAUUUGGGCUUAUAGUGUGCUUCUUUGAGCUUGGAUUAUCUUAGGAGGCCAUGUAUAACAUCGAGUAAAUCAAAUUGGUUAAACAAAAUUAAUAUAAUGAUCCAAUAUAAUCGAAAUGCAUCCAUCUUUUAGGUUCCUUCUCCACCUGCGUUUUCCCAUCAUUCCUUCAUUUUCGGUUGGUUCCAUAAAGGAUAAGCUGAAAAAAGAUUUAGAACCCCCCCAAGAAAAACAAAAAAUGAGGAAUGGAGGAGAAGAGUGAAAGGGCGGCCAAGAUGAUUAUGCCCAAAAUCUACCAUCACCUCCAUGCAUGCUCCUACCAAGAGACUAUGACCAUUCCUCAUUGAAGGGCAAGGAGCCAUGACCAUCAAAAGCGACUAAGGCCUCAACUACCAAACAAAGCAGAGCUGGUGUGGUGGGUCCAAAGCCUAGCGCGAUUCAACGGGUAGGAAACCAAGCAACGAAAGCGUCUGACAGUGCGCAUGAAGCUAAGCCUGAGAGAGAACCAAAAAAAAAAAAAACAAGUAGCAAGCUAGAUAGAGGAGCCACUCUAGAAGCAAAACUGUGAAGAAACCCAUUUGGUGGAAGGGGAUCUACCUGCCCAAAACACGACGGCUGGAGGCCAAAGAAAAAGAUAGGAGCGGUGUUAUUGUGCUAGGACGUGAGAGAAAAAGCCCUACUGCAGUAGUCGACACAAAGGCCAGCUGCACUAGCAGUGAAAAAAAUGUUCUCUUGUACAAAGGAUUAAGGCCUAAUUUUUUCCGUUACUUGGGCAUAAGGAUCCAAGUAAAUGCAUAUACUACAAUACAACCAUGUGGUGUUGCAAACGAGUAUUAUAAUCAAGACCGCAAAACAAUUUUAAAAUCCAUAAACAAGGAAAAUAAUUCCAUUCUGC
rnacentral:lncRNA from 1 species